rnacentral:rRNA from 1 species
ACGGUGCAAGACUAAACUCAAAUGAAUUGACGGGGCCCGCACAGGCGGUGGAGCAUGUGGUUUAAUUUGAUGCAACGCGAAGAACCUUACCUGGCCUUGACAUACUAGAAACUUUCCAGAGAUGGAUUGGUGCCUUCGGGAAUCUAGAUACAGGUGCUGCAUGGCUGUCGUCAGCUCGUGUCGUAAGAUGUUGGGUUAAAGUCCCGCAACGAGCGCAACCCUUUUCCUUACUUGCCAGCAUUUCGGAUGGGAACUUUAAGGAUACUGCCAGUGACAAACUGGAGGAAGGCGGGGACGACGUCAAGUCAUCAUGGCCCUUACGGCCAGGGCUACACACGUGCUACAAUGGUCGGUACAAAGGGUUGCUACACAGCGAUGUGAUGCUAAUCUCAAAAAGCCGAUCGUAGUCCGGAUUGGAGUCUGCAACUCGACUCCAUGAAGUCGGAAUCGCUAGUAAUCGCGGAUCAGAAUGCCGCGGUGAAUACGUUCCCGGGCCUUGUACACACCGCCCGUCACACCAUGGGAGUUUGUUGCACCAGAAGUAGGUAGUCUAACCGCAAGGAGGACGCUUACCACGGUGUGGCCGAUGACUGGGGUGAAGUCGUAACAAGGUAACCGUAA